rnacentral:rRNA from 1 species
ACUUAAAUUGAAGAGUUUGAUCAUGGCUCAGAUUGAACGCUGGCGGCAGGCCUAACACAUGCAAGUCGAACGGUAGCACAGAGGAGCUUGCUCCUUGGGUGACGAGUGGCGGACGGGUGAGUAAUGUCUGGGAAACUGCCCGAUGGAGGGGGAUAACUACUGGAAACGGUAGCUAAUACCGCAUAACGUCGCAAGACCAAAGAGGGGGACCUUCGGGCCUCUUGCC